rnacentral:rRNA from 1 species
CACGUUUGACAUGUCUAGUUUGGUCGUCAGAGAUGACUUCCUUCAGUUCGGCUGGCUAGAACACAGGUGCUGCAUGGCUGUCGUCAGCUCGUGUCGUGAGAUGUUGGGUUAAGUCCCGCAACGAGCGCAACCCUCGCUACUAGUUGCUACCAGGUUAAGCUGAGCACUCUAGUGGAACUGCCGGUGGCAAGCCGGAGGAAGGUGGGGAUGACGUCAAGUCCUCAUGG